AGAUGAGCUAACCUAGAGGAGGGAGAAGAGAAGCAAGGCCUGGACAUCAAGGCUUACUCCAAGCUUCAGGCUCACACUGAAUACUCACUAAAGAAUCUUUCCUUAGUAGUCUUCACCAACCAGAAUUUGAGAAAGACAUAAUCUAGAGAUUGGUGAAUGUCUUUCCUAUCUUGCUUCCAAAAUAUCGAGGUGUCCAGAGGAUCCCUUGGGCUGCAGCUAAACUAGUGUGCCUCUGAACCAACUGGUACAGAAAGAUGAAGACUUCAGAAUCACAGAGGGCUGACAUGGAGGGCAGGUGCUCCUGGCUGCUCGUAUGAUGUCCAAAAGAACUAAACCUUCGAAAUGGUAAUAUUGGCAUGUGCAAAAUGGAAAUAAUUACACCAACUUCAGGUUUGUUGUUACUAUUAAUGAACAUAAACAUCAAUUCUCUGAAACAACAUAGUUAUUGUUACUUCUCAUUAUUUUUCCUGAUUUUUAAAUAGCCAUCUAGUUUUCCCUCAUUGCCUUUCUACUUGGCUGCUAUUUAUUGAAUACUUAUUGAAUGUCAUGUAAAGCUGAGUGUUUCACAAGCCUCUUUAUUCAUUUCAUCCUCAAACAAGCCUCUAAAUUAAAAAUUGUUAUUAUUCACUUCUGAUCAUGUGGAUUCUGAAGUCUGGAGAGCCAAGUGACAUGUUCAAGAUCAGAGUUCUUAGAAGAGGAGCAAAUUCAAGCUUUCCCUGGAGAGUCCAGCUCAUUACUGUACAUCAGUCUGCACUGGAUAAAAUCAGUAGGUAAUAUAACCUGAAUUGCAAAGGACAAAAAUGAAGAAAGACAGCAUUGAAGCUCCAGAACAACACAUGCUUGUGAAAGUAUUCCAAAUAAUUGUGAUGCCUACUGAGAUUGAAGACCACUGAUUUAGGUUAUAAAUAGUACUUCCUCAGCAUGGACUGAAUGCUCUUAAAUUUAACUGUUUACUUGUAUCCUCCAUUGUUCUGCAAUUACUCUGCAAGAGCAGGCACCGGUCUCUCAAGUGAUUAUAUUCCCAUUGCCUAAUAUUGGGAGUGACAGGACUAUGGUGAGUGCUCAUAAAUACUUGUUAAGUAUUUCAAUAAAUAAAUGAGUUCAUAAA
rnacentral:lncRNA from 1 species